UACGGAGGGGGCAAGCGUUGUUCGGAAUUACUGGGCGUAAAGGGCUCGUAGGCGGCCAACUAAGUCAGACGUGAAAUCCCUAGGCUCAACCUAGGAACUGCGUCUGAUACUGGAUGGCUUGAGUCCGGGAGAGGGAUGCAGAAUUCCAGGUGUAGCGGUGAAAUGCGUAGAUAUCUGGAGGAAUACCGGUGGCGAAGGCGGCAUCCUGGACCGGCAUUGACGCUGAGGAGCGAAAGCCAGGGGAGCAAACGGG
rnacentral:rRNA from 1 species